rnacentral:misc_RNA from 1 species
GAUGAAGAACGCAGCGAAAUGCGAUAAGUAAUGUGAAUUGCAGAAUUCAGUGAAUCAUCGAAUCUUUGAACGCACAUUGCGCCCCUUGGUAUUCCGAGGGGCAUGCCUGUUCGAGCGUCAUUAUAACCCCUCAAGCUCAGCUUGGUAUUGGGGCCUGCCGCACGGGCAGCCCUUAAAAUCAGUGGCGGUGCCAUCUGGCUCUAAGCGUAGUAAUUCUUCUCGCUAUAGAGUCCCGGUGGAUGCUUGCCAUUAACCCCCAAUUUUCUAUGGUUGACCUCGGAUCAGGUAGGGAUACCCGCUGAACUUAAGCAUAUCAAUAAGCGGAGGA